GACGAACGCUGGCGGCGUGCUUAACACAUGCAAGUCGAACGGUGACCUCGAGAGCUUGCUCUUGAGUGAUCAGUGGCGAACGGGUGAGUAACACGUGAGUAACCUGCCCCAGACUCUGGAAUAACCCCGGGAAACCGGAGCUAAUACCGGAUACGAAGUGGAGCCGCAUGGCUACUACUUGGAAAGUUUUUCGGUCUGGGAUGGACUCGCGGCCUAUCAGCUAGUUGGUGAGGUAACGGCUCACCAAGGCGACGACGGGUAGCCGGCCUGGGAGGGCGACCGGCCACACUGGGACUGAGGCACGGCCCAGACUCCUACGGGAGGCAGCAGUGGGGAAUAUUGCACAAUGGGCGAAAGCCUGAUGCAGCGACGCCGCGUGAGGGAUGACGGCCUUCGGGUUGUAAACCUCUUUCAGCAGGGAAGAAGCGAAAGUGACGGUACCUGCAGAAGAAGCACCGGCUAACUACGUGCCAGCCGCCGCGGUAAAAC
rnacentral:rRNA from 1 species